UGCUCUAGUGGCCUAGUGGUAAGAGCGUCCACCUCUGAUGUGGGAUAUCAUGGGUUCGAUCCCUGGUUGAGUCA